rnacentral:rRNA from 1 species
AAACUUAAGAGUUUGAUCCUGGCUCAGAACGAACGCUGGCGGCAGGCCUAACACAUGCAAGUCGAACGCGUCCGCAAGGACGAGUGGCGCACGGGUGAGUAACGCGUGGAUACCUACCCCAGAGCGCGGAAUAACCCAGGGAAACCUCGGCUAAUACCGCAUAUCACCUCACGAGGGAAAGACUCCCAUGUCGCUCCGGGACGGGUCCGCGUCGGAUUAGGCAGUUGGUGCAGGUAACGGCUCACCAAACCGACAAUCCGUAGCUGGUUCGAGAGGACGACCAGCCACACUGGGACUGAGACACGGCCCAGACUCCUACGGGAGGCAGCAGUGAGGAAUCUUGGACAAUGGACGAAAGUCUGAUCCAGCCAUGUCGCGUGAGUGAAGAAGGCCCUAGGGUUGUAAAGCUCUUUCAGCGGGGAUGAUCAUGACAGUACCCGCACAAGAAGCCCCGGCUAACUUCGUGCCAGCAGCCGCGGUAAUACGAAGGGGGCUAGCGUUGUUCGGAUUUACUGGGCGUAAAGGGCGCGUAGGCGGUCGGCAAAGUGAAGGGUGAAAUCCUCGGGCCCAACCCGAGAACCGCCCUCCAAACUCGCCGACUCGAGUCCGGAAAAUGACGGCGGAACUCCCAGUGGAGAGGUGGAAUUCGUAGAGAUUGGGAAGAACACCAGUAGCGAAAGCGGCCGCCAGGUCCGAGACUGACGCUGAGGCGCGAAAGCGUGGGUAGCAAACAGGAUUAGAUACCCUGGUAGUCCACGCCGUAAACGAUGUGUGCCAGCUGUCGGGACGCCUCGCGUCUCGGCGGCGCAGCUAACGCCUUGAGCACACCGCCUGGGGAGUACGGCCGCAAGGCUAAAACUCAAAGGAAUUGACGGGGGCCCGCACAAGCGGUGGAGCAUGUGGUUUAAUUCGAUGCAACGCGAAGAACCUUACCUACCCUUGACAUCAUCAGAACUUGUCAGAGAUGACUCGGUGCCUUCGGGAACUGAUAGACAGGUGCUGCAUGGCUGUCGUCAGCUCGUGUCGUGAGAUGUUGGGUUAAGUCCCGCAACGAGCGCAACCCCCGUCUUCAGUUGCCAGCGGUUUCGGCCGGGAACUCUGAAGAGACUGUCGGCGUCAAGCCGGAGGAAGGUGGGGAUGACGUCAAGUCCGCAUGGCCUUUAUGGGCUGGGCUACACACGUGCUACAAUGGCGGUGACAGUGGGCUGCAAUGGAGCAAUCCGGAGCCAAUCCUCAAAAGCCGUCCCAGUUCGGAUUGCGCCCUGCAACUCGGGCGCAUGAAGUCGGAAUCGCUAGUAAUCGCGGAUCAGAAUGCCGCGGUGAAUACGUUCUCGGGCCUUGUACACACCGCCCGUCACACCAUGGGAGUUGACUCUACCCGAAGAUGGUGCGCGAACCGAGAGGGCGCAGCCAGCCACGGUAGGGCCAGCGACUGGGGUGAAGUCGUAACAAGGUAGCCGUAGGGGAACCUGCGGCUGGAUCACCUCCUUU